rnacentral:lncRNA from 10 species
CAAAUUUAUCAAAGGAAAGAGAGUCUGCCCUUACUUUCUCAGGGACCAUACCUACAGCAGGGUGUGAAAGGCUGGCUUCUAAGAUAACCAUAGCAGGCCAAUUUGACUUUGUGAAAACAGUACAUAUAUGUACUGAAAGAAAGCUGGAAACGAAAGAGAGAAGGAGAAAGAAAGAGAGGUGGGAAGGAGGAGAAAGAAGAAGAAGGAGAGAAAGAGAGAGGAAAAGAAGGAAGAAGAGAAAGAAUGAAUGAGGGGGUUGUUAGCGAUGGAUAUUUGACCUGGGAAGACAUCACAAGCAACCACAGUCCUGAUUCCAGUGCCAAAUCUGAGCAGGCCCAGCACUCCACACAGAACGUCCCUGAUUCAAACUGGUGCCCAACAGGCCUUUCCUCAGUAGCAUGGCCAGGUUAGGGCACCAAAGGGUUAAACUGUGACAAUGUGGCAGACUCCAAACUCCACGUAGGCAGGGAGCCUGUCUGCUGCUCUCAACUUUGGACUCAGCAUCGAACAUAGUCCCUGGUGCUUAGAAGAUGCUCAACAAAUACUUCACAAUUGAAUGAACACAUGGCUAUGCUGUCAUAGAAUUUGAAAGCUCAUUCCCCACGUGCAGAUGAAGAAAAAGCAACAAAGAGCAUCUAGUACAUUGAAUGCCUGGUAAAAAGGCAUCCUCUUCCUCAUCAACAUGUAUGGAGCAUUCAUGGGUACAGGCUUCAGGCCCACAGAAAUGAAAGGCAAAUAGCUUGAGUCGGAAUCAAUGAUUAGUUCUUCCCCGGCUCUGUGACUGCGUAGAUGUAUGGUCUUACAUGGAGAAGUUUGUAUCUUAGAGUCUCUAUAGAUGCCCCACCCAUUUCAUACAUCUAUUAGGAAUACGAAAGGUGCAGAGUUCUUGCAGGGAAAAUGUCUUGCCAAUAUGUACUUGAGAAGACCAUCCUUUUCAGUUGAACAACAAGAACCAAAAUGUUAAUCAAAUAUGUCCAGUGACUUUACAAUUUGCAGAGCAACUGAGAAAUAUAGAAAUUGGGCUGGGCAUGGUGGCUCACGCCUGUAAUCCCAGCACUUUGGGAGGCCGAAGCGGGCAGAUCACGAGGUCAAGAGAUUGAGACCAUCCUGGCCAACAUGGUGAAAUCCCAUCUCUACUAAAAAUACAAAAAUUAGCUGGGUGUGGUGGCACGUGCCUGUAGUCCCAGCUACUUGGGAGGCUGAGGAAGGAGGAUCACUUGAACCCGGGAGGCAGAGGUUGCAGUGAGCCAAGAUCGUGCCACUGCACUCCAGCUUGGGCGACAGAGUGAGACUCUGUCUCAAAAUAAAAAUAAAAAUAAAAAUAAAAGAAAUAUGAAAAUCGUUAGUAAUGGGAAUGAUGUGAGGAACUCAGUAUUUUUAAGCUGUUAGAUGGUAGGGGGCGAGAGAUAAAACCUUCACGGCAUAUGCUUACCUUGUAGAUCAUUAAUAAAUACAGGCAACACUAUGGCUCUGACUUUACACAGCAACAGUUCAUCUACAUUGCCACAAGGAAGUAGCCAGGGAUAUUACUAAUUUUAAAUACCAGCCCGUCAGCAAGAAUGAAGCUGAAAUUCAGGGCUGUUCCAAGAAAGGGCAGAAACAUGCCAGGAGCGCUGAGUAAACUUUCAGUCUGAAUCCAUGUGAAUUACUGGGGAGUCCUGGAUUUCGAAAUUCUUUUGCGGUUCACACCACCCACGUGUCAGUAAACAGGCUAAGGCUAAGGCUACUCCUGUUCUAUAUUGCCACCUAGUGGAUAAUGAUACCCGCGUUCCUUCGUGCAUUUGCUUCAGAGAGACUUGCCCUAGUUAGCAAACCAGCUGAUGAAUAUUAUUUGAGACACAAAUGAACUAACCUUUGAGUUUGUUUCCUUUGGACUUUGAGAUGUCUGUUUACUGAAGCGAAUGUGGCAUUUCAUCAUCUUCGAUCAGCCUGUAGGAAAAAAUAAGCAGCAUUUAUAAAUGGCAUCUCUUCAAGAAUUAAAAAUGCAUAAAGGUGGUAAUAUUUCCACUGAGUAGCCGUCAGUAAUUAAGUUUUUAAAUUUCUCUUUUUCUCCUUCUCUGUCUUUCCUAUUUACUUUUGAACCUUUAAUUACUAUACUGUGUCAUUUCAGGCAAAACAAUGCUAGACCCAGGCUUCAGGUUCCAUUGUUGUAGAAACAACGUAUUAGUGGAUCCUGAUAUCAAUAUGAGCAGCAUCA